GGGGAGGUAGCUUAGUGGUUAAGAGCAUCAACUGCUCUUCCGAAGGUCCUGAGUUCAAAUCCCAGCAACCACA
rnacentral:tRNA from 2 species